UAGACCACACCACACAUAUGUGCCACCCUGACCAGGCUGAAGCUGACAUGAUUAGCAAGCAUCGUAGCGUUUAGUUUUAGGACUGGUUUUCCUGACUCAGCUGGCUUGUCUGGCAGCUUGCAACCUAUGGGAACCUGAGGAACUGCAUCACAAGAGUGAAAGGGACGCCCACCUAGCACUUCUUCGAGGAUGGUGCCUUGAAGAAGGGAGGACUGCGCCUAAAGUGAAUGCCAUGGCAGGCAAUGUGCUGAGGCUUGGGCCAUGUGGAACUGGAGGCAGCCAAGUCAUCAAAGAAGAUAGGACUUCGGCUCAUUCAGAAACCAUGUGAACUACGGCACAAGAGGCCCAGGGCACCGGAACAGCUGGCUGAAUAAACAGCUAAGCCUUUCAAACAUUGAAGUGUGUGCUAUCCCAAGGGGAGUAGUUUGAAGGGGAUUAGAGUUUUAGACCUCAAGGCAAAUAAAUGUAUUUUUUCCUUCCAAA
rnacentral:misc_RNA from 1 species